rnacentral:rRNA from 1 species
GAUGAACGCUGGCGGCGUGCCUAAUACAUGCAAGUCGAGCGAACGGACGAGAAGCUUGCUUCUCUGAUGUUAGCGGCGGACGGGUGAGUAACACGUGGAUAACCUACCUAUAAGACUGGGAUAACUUCGGGAAACCGGAGCUAAUACCGGAUAAUAUUUUGAACCGCAUGGUUCAAAAGUGAAAGACGGUCUUGCUGUCACUUAUAGAUGGAUCCGCGCUGCAUUAGCUAGUUGGUAAGGUAACGGCUUACCAAGGCAACGAUGCAUAGCCGACCUGAGAGGGUGAUCGGCCACACUGGAACUGAGACACGGUCCAGACUCCUACGGGAGGCAGCAGUAGGGAAUCUUCCGCAAUGGGCGAAAGCCUGACGGAGCAACGCCGCGUGAGUGAUGAAGGGCUUCGGAUCGUAAAACUCUGUUAUUAGGGAAGAACAUAUGUGUAAGUAACAGUGCACAUCUUGACGGUACCGAAUCAGAAAGCCACGGCUAACUACGU